UACGCACGCUGGCGGCGUGCUUAACACAUGCAAGUCGAACGGUGAAGCGCCUUCCUUUUUGGUGGGUGUGGAUGAGUGGCGAACGGGUGAGUAACACGUGAGUAACCUGCCCCCUUCUUCUGGAUAACCGCAUGAAAGUGUGGCUAAUACGGGAUAUUCUGGGUCUGUCGCAUGAUGGGUCUGGGAAAGAUAUUGUUUCGGUGGGGGAUGGGCUCGCGGCCUAUCAGCUUGUUGGUGGGGUGAUGGCCUACCAAGGCGGUGACGGGUAGCCGGCCUGAGAGGGUUGACGGUCACACUGGGACUGAGACACGGCCCAGACUCCUACGGGAGGCAGCAGUGGGGAAUAUUGCACAAUGGGAGCAAGCCUGAUGCAGCGACGCCGCGUGAGGGAUGGAGGCCUUCGGGUUGUGAACCUCUUUCGCCAGUGAAGCAGGCCUGCCUCGUUUGUGGGUGGGUUGACGGUAGCUGGAUAAGAAGCGCCGGCUAACUACGUG
rnacentral:rRNA from 1 species